rnacentral:tRNA from 1 species
UUCUUGUAGUUUAUUUAUAAAAAAUAUUACACUGAAAAUGUAAAGAAAUUAAUUUUCGAGAAUA